rnacentral:rRNA from 1 species
AACGAACGCUGGCGGCAGGCCUAACACAUGCAAGUCGAACGCAUCCUUCGGGGUGAGUGGCGCACGGGUGAGUAACACGUGGGAAUGUACCCUUUGGUUCGGAAUAACGUUUGGAAACGAACGCUAAUACCGGAUGAGCCCUACGGGGGAAAGAUUUAUCGCCAAAGGAGCAGCCCGCGUCUGAUUAGCUAGUUGGUGGGGUAAAGGCCUACCAAGGCGACGAUCAGUAGCUGGUCUGAGAGGAUGAUCAGCCACACUGGGACUGAGACACGGCCCAGACUCCUACGGGAGGCAGCAGUGGGGAAUAUUGGACAAUGGGCGCAAGCCUGAUCCAGCCAUGCCGCGUGAGUGAUGAAGGCCUUCGGGUUGUAAAGCUCUUUCGCACGCGACGAUGAUGACGGUAGCGUGAGAAGAAGCCCCGGCUAACUUCGUGCCAGCCGCCGCAGUAA